AUUUUGGUGGCUGAAGUAUUAAGCGGUAAAUUGUAAAUUUAUAGACGGCAGUCAAAUGCCCCUUA
rnacentral:tRNA from 2 species